rnacentral:rRNA from 1 species
GGGUGAGUAACACGUAGGUAACCUGCCCCGGAGCGGGGGAUAACAUUUGGAAACAGAUGCUAAUACCGCAUAACAACAAAAGCUGCAUGGCUUUUGUUUGAAAGAUGGCUUUGGCUAUCACUCUGGGAUGGACCUGCGGUGCAUUAGCUAGUUGGUAAGGUAACGGCUUACCAAGGCGAUGAUGCAUAGCCGAGUUGAGAGACUGAUCGGCCACAAUGGAACUGAGACACGGUCCAUACUCCUACGGGAGGCAGCAGUAGGGAAUCUUCCACAAUGGGCGCAAGCCUGAUGGAGCAACACCGCGUGAGUGAAGAAGGGUUUCGGCUCGUAAAGCUCUGUUGUUGGAGAAGAACGUGCGUGAGAGUAACUGUUCACGCAGUGACGGUAUCCAACCAGAAAGUCACGGCUAACUACGUGCCAGCAGCCGCGGUAAUACGUAGGUGGCAAGCGUUAUCCGGAUUUAUUGGGCGUAAAGCGAGCGCAGGCGGUUGCUUAGGUCUGAUGUGAAAGCCUUCGGCUUAACCGAAGAAGUGCAUCGGAAACCGGGCGACUUGAGUGCAGAAGAGGACAGUGGAACUCCAUGUGUAGCGGUGGAAUGCGUAGAUAUAUGGAAGAACACCAGUGGCGAAGGCGGCUGUCUGGUCUGCAACUGACGCUGAGGCUCGAAAGCAUGGGUAGCGGACAGGAUUAGAUACCCUGGUAGUCCAUGCCGUAAACGAUGAGUGCUAGGUGUUGGAG